rnacentral:tRNA from 1 species
GUCCCUGUAGCGCAAUCGAUAGUGCGUUGAACUUCUUAUCCAAAGCUCAUGGGUUUGAAUCCCACUUGGGAUG